ACGCUAGCUACAGGCUUAACACAUGCAAGUCGAGGGGCAGCAUUUUAGUUUGCUUGCAAACUGAAGAUGGCGACCGGCGCACGGGUGAGUAACACGUAUCCAACCUGCCGAUAACUCCGGAAUAGCCUUUCGAAAGAAAGAUUAAUACCGGAUAGUAUACGAAUAUCGCAUGGUAUUUUUAUUAAAGAAUUUCGGUUAUCGAUGGGGAUGCGUUCCAUUAGUUUGUUGGCGGGGUAACGGCCCACCAAGACUACGAUGGAUAGGGGUUCUGAGAGGAAGGUCCCCCACAUUGGAACUGAGACACGGUCCAAACUCCUACGGGAGGCAGCAGUGAGGAAUAUUGGUCAAUGGGCGAGAGCCUGAACCAGCCAAGUAGCGUGAAGGAUGAAGGCUCUAUGGGUCGUAAACUUCUUUUAUAUGGGAAUAAAGUUUUCCACGUGUGGAAUUUUGUAUGUACCAUAUGAAUAAGGAUCGGCUAACUCCGUGCCAGCAGCCGCGGUAAUACGGAGGAUCCGAGCGUUAUCCGGAUUUAUUGGGUUUAAAGGGAGCGUAGGUGGAUUGUUAAGUCAGUUGUGAAAGUUUGCGGCUCAACCGUAAAAUUGCAGUUGAAACUGGCAGUCUUGAGUACAGUAGAGGUGGGCGGAAUUCGUGGUGUAGCGGUGAAAUGCUUAGAUAUCACGAAGAACUCCGAUUGCGAAGGCAGCUCACUAGACUGUCACUGACACUGAUGCUCGAAAGUGUGGGUAUCAAACAGGAUUAGAUACCCUGGUAGUCCACACAGUAAACGAUGAAUACUCGCUGUUUGCGAUAUACAGUAAGCGGCCAAGCGAAAGCAUUAAGUAUUCCACCUGGGGAGUACGCCGGCAACGGUGAAACUCAAAGGAAUUGACGGGGGCCCGCACAAGCGGAGGAACAUGUGGUUUAAUUCGAUGAUACGCGAGGAACCUUACCCGGGCUUAAAUUGCAACAGAAUAUAUUGGAAACAGUAUAGCCGUAAGGCUGUUGUGAAGGUGCUGCAUGGUUGUCGUCAGCUCGUGCCGUGAGGUGUCGGCUUAAGUGCCAUAACGAGCGCAACCCUUAUCUUUAGUUACUAACAGGUGAUGCUGAGGACUCUAGAGAGACUGCCGUCGUAAGAUGUGAGGAAGGUGGGGAUGACGUCAAAUCAGCACGGCCCUUACGUCCGGGGCUACACACGUGUUACAAUGGGGGGUACAGAAGGCGGCUACCUGGUGACAGGAUGCUAAUCCCAAAAACCUCUCUCAGUUCGGAUCGAAGUCUGCAACCCGACUUCGUGAAGCUGGAUUCGCUAGUAAUCGCGCAUCAGCCAUGGCGCGGUGAAUACGUUCCCGGGCCUUGUACACACCGCCCGUCAAGCCAUGAAAGCCGGGGGUACCUGAAGUACGUAACCGCAAGGAGCGUCCUAGGGUAAAACUGGUAAUUGGGG
rnacentral:rRNA from 1 species